GGGUGAGGGUAAAUAACAGAUUAUCUUGGCUCACCAAUAAUCUGCUUUAAAAAAAAAAAUUAAUUCAAUCUUAAAAACUAACUCUAACACCACUGGGAUGCAAUAAAAAGCUGUUUGGAUAACUCUUUUAUAGAAACUCUGAACAUUUACUAGACAUGUUUAGAGUAACUUUUCCACAGUAGAAAUAAUCCAGAAAUAAACCUAUCUACUGAAAACAAAGGUCAACCAGUCACUUCAUUAUUUAAAAGCCUUUAACUCAUCUGAUAGAACACAGGACCUAGAGCAUGAAACUUUGAAGACCUCAGUCUCCCACAACAGGGCACACUUCUAUAGAAUGUCUUCUACUAGAGCAUGUCUGCUUUUGAAAUGCCAGUACGGUUUUUAAAAGGUAAUAAAAAGACAUUUCUUUUUUCUCUGAAGACACGAUUCUGUCUUAGGUUGAUCCUAAUCAAAACUAAAGGUCACGGAGACUGAUUCUUACACAUUUAAUAAGUUGCUGUAUAAAAU
rnacentral:lncRNA from 1 species